ACAUCUUGACCACUCUAUCUGAUAAAGAUAGAAAGACCAGUUUCUAAUAAUGGUGUCGAAGAUGUGAUGAGAAAGCGGGAUUACAAAGUUUAAACAAUUCUUUCUUAAAAACAUACACAGAGAGAAGUCCAAGCACUGAAGAUAAUUUCAAUUUUAGCUGAUAUCUAACUAAACAACUAUCUAACUACAAACACGCUGGGGACUGUAUGAAAUUAUGCCAUGAAAAAAGAGAGAGGGAGGGCAGGAGGGAGGGAGGGAGAGAGAGAGAGAGAGAGAGAGAGAGGGAGGGAGGGAGGGAGGGAGAGAGAGAGAGAGAGAGAGAGAAAGACUCAGUCCCAGUCUAGGAGAUUACUAUGCCCACCCUUACAAAACAGCCAUUUCUUUCAUUAUAAUAGGUCUUUUCAUCAAAAUGACACAGAACCUUUAAAAUUUGGACAGCAUAUUCUCCUACAGUAGAGACGGCAGCCACUUCAAACCGAUUCUGAACCUGUUCCCUGAAAUAAAACAAACUCGCUCCAUUGACAUACAUAAAUUGUUUACGACUCAUUAAAAAGCAAAAUUGCAUAUCACGCGGCUGGCAGCUGGGUCCAUGCGGUGGAAAAGGGGCAUUCACUCAUCUCUUUGUAUGCUGGCAGUACCAAACUGAAGUUUAGCAGUAGGCAGUAGCUGAGAUUGUUUUGUGCAGCCAGACGAUGCAUGAGAUCUUUGGACCUAACACUGAAGCUACAAAUUAACCACGAAAAGCCCAUAAAAAACCUCAGUGACUGCUGGAGAACAAAAUUCAGAAUGAAUAUGAACUCUCUUCAUUGCAAAUGUACAGUAGUUGGAAGUCAAAUAAAGAACCAAUGCUGUUAAAUAACUGUGUUUUCGAUCCAGAACAAUUAGGGUGCAGUUAACUUUGCCAUUUUUCUCUAUGAUGUGGGUGGCAGUGAAUCUAUUCUUGUUGAGCCACGAGUCUUUUUCUAAGUGAGCUGUUACUAAUAGCCUUGAAAGAAGAUUAAAUGCAACAUGUUAAAUAUUA